UACGAAGGGGGCUAGCGUUGUUCGGAAUUACUGGGCGUAAAGGGCUCGUAGGCGGCCAACUAAGUCAGACGUGAAAUCCCUCGGCUUAACCGGGGAACUGCGUCUGAUACUGGAUGGCUUGAGUGUGGGAGAGGGAUGCGGAAUUCCAGGUGUAGCGGUGAAAUGCGUAGAUAUCUGGAGGAACACCGGUGGCGAAGGCGGCAUCCUGGACCACGACUGACGCUGAGUGAGCGAAAGCCAGGGGAGCAAACGGG
rnacentral:rRNA from 1 species